UAAUUAGGGGCUAGGGCAACACAGAACACGCAUCGCAUUCACUGCCUCGUGCCUCCUUCAGCAGCUCAGCGCCUCAGUCCUCAGCCAUUGAGGCUCACCCCCACACCCCAAGUCCCCACUCCGGCACUCCCCACGCCCCACUCCGGCUCUGGCAGUCGCCACUCCCCACGGCGCAGGCCGAUCCGGUGACCCUGACCUCAUUUUCUCUCCCCACGGCCCACUCCGAGUCUCGCGGCAUGCACCACGCAGUCGCCGACUCCUCCCUUUCUCAUCUCUUCACAACCCUCCGUGUUUCACCCCAGUCACCGCCGAAGCUCUUCGUUCGACGGACGACAGUGACGACGUACGGUGCUGCCCUGCUUCUCGGCGACGUUGCUCUGCUCUGUUCUGCUAGUCCUGCUCCCUCUGCUCUGCUCUCUUCUCCGGUCUUCUUUUCAGGUCUUCUGCUCAGGUGCAUUGGACCAUAACAUUUAUCAGAGCGAAGGUUCACCUGCACCAGAAGAUCCAGAUACAGCCAAGAAAGUAAAAUUGCUGAAUAAGAGUAUGAAGCAAAGCUUGGUUUAAGGUGUUUUUUGUCUCUUUCAUUUGAUGAAGAUCUUGGGAUGUCUGAGAAAAAAGACGAUGACCCGAAAUUUAGAAACAAGAAAUAUAAGAAGAGAAUAAACAUGGAGGCAUCAAAUCAGUUCCAGAUAAUGACAAAAAGUGAAGUAAGCAUGAAUUGAUCUCUAACACAAAAUUGGAGGUUGAAGCUAACUACAAGGUUGCAUUGUUUGCCCUAGAUGGUAUGAAGAGGAGACAAAUGCAAUCUGAAACACUCUCUGCCGUGUUUGACACGUAUUUUCUCGUUUAAUUACUAUGAUUACUUAUUAUGGUAGGUUGUCUCCGUGAUGCUUAGUUCUUUGAUAUCAUAAUCCCGUGUUUAUGGCUUGCCAUGGUAUUUACUCUUUCUUAUUUUCGUUCAAUUUUGUGUUUCAACGGAAAUCAAUUUGGUAUUUAGGGUUCUGUUCAACAGAUUUUUUGUCCCAAUUCUUGGGGGAAUAGAAAUCUUUUGUAUUUGUUCUCGAUUAAUUACUAUGAUUACUUAUUAUGGUAGGUUGUCAUUGUGAUGUUUAGUUCUUUGAUUUUCAUGUCAUUUGUAUCUUCUUUUUGUUUUCUUGAAUACGGUGCACCAUGUGGUCGGUAUGCUCAAUGCUGGCUUUGGUCAUCAUGAGGCGAUUCUUCCUUCUUUAUGUUUUCAAGGCAAGGGAUUUCUACCGACUAGAUUGAAUAGACAUUAUUUCUAUUUAGUUUAGUUUCUGAGUUGUGAAUGAAUUGCUUCCUCAUUUCUUAUAGAAUAUUUAUUUUCAUAUCCUCUUUGAUAAGAUAGUUUCCUAGAAGUUUCAUAUAUCAGUCAACCUUUCUUUCUUGUUUGCAUGUUUUUUGCGCAUUACUUUUUAUCAACUCUUAGGAUUUUCUUUUACAUGGUUAACUUUUAUUUACUGAGAUCUUUUGGGCAUGUUUUAGCUUACUUUUAUUGGAUCUUCUUCUCUUUUCCUUCCCUUCUUACCCUUUCUUCAUCCAAUUUCGCGACCAUUGGUGCAAAACCUUGCGGUUCCAAUGCUUUAUCUUCAACCUUUUUCCAAAGUUACUUUAGGGAAAUACUAGAUCUUGAUUGCGAGCCACUUCGCGCAUUCACCUUGUGUUCAACUGCUCGAUGUCACCACCGCCAGAGCCAAUCACGAGGAGCAUGGGCAACCCGACGCGGUAACGAAGCUGGUGGAGUUUCCAAGGCAUCAGGGAGUUUACUCUGUCAGCUCCACCAUCUCUUGUCUCUCCCGUUGAUUGGGUCAUUCAAGAGUUUUUUAUUUUGCUUAACUUUCAAUUUUAUGAUGUCUUGCAUAAUUUUUGAAAAGUGUGUUUCAUUUUUACCAGGUUGAGACCAGAACUCUCGAGGAUGAAAAUUCAAGAGUUUUUAAUUUUGCUUAACUUUCAAUUUUAUGAUGUCUUGCAUAACUUUUGAAAAGCUUGUUUCAUUUUUACCAGAUUGAGACCAGAACUCUUGAGGAAGUUAAAGAAGUAUUACAUUAUGCUUCCCAAACAAACACUUUGUCCCAGAUAAUGUUGGGUAAUAUGGUUUUAUCUCUACCUAAUGGGAUGUGGAUAUAUCAAUGCUGAAAGAAGCUGCGCAGGUAGUCCAUGAAAAAUUUGAGACUGAGGUAUUCAUGACUAAAUUUGUUUUUAGUUCAAUCGUGCCAUAUUUAUUGAAUUAUUUUUCAACUAAAUGGUUUAGAAUAUUUGCUGCUGAUUUGAUAUUGUAUGUUUCAAUGGUUUACUUGUUCUGUUUGAUAAACUAGCAUAUCUUCUCAAUCAUUUAAUCUUUUAAAGAGGUGGAUGGAAAAUUGUCAAGCAGAGUGUAAUGUUUGCAAAGUUUUAGGUAAAAUGUUCUACGUGCUAUUUAACAAUUCCUUUAUUCGUACUCUUGGAUCAAACAUGAAGCUAAUUAUUAGUACUCUCUUUUUUCUUUCAUUUCAUUUUGACUUGACAUAAUAUGAUACUACUAAUGUUGCUUGCAAUUUCCAUUAAUUCAUCAUCUAAGAAGCUCUUGUCGUCCUUCUAUUCAGUAUCAUAGAGUGACAUGGGAUGUGAAAGUUUGGUAAAACAAUACCUUUAUGAGUUGUUUAAUUGUGCAAGCUGCUACUGUUGAUAUUCAUCUUUUCUAAUUUGGGCGUUUGUGCUUAUUUCUUGAACUGGGUUGCUACAUCAUUCAAUUAUUGGAUACAUUGAACUAAAUUUUUACUAAUUCAGUGUAUGCUUUUCACUUUAGCUUUUUCCCUUUUUUACCGUUUUUAUUUCAUGGGUGGGGGUAAUUUGUCGUUAUCUUUUCAUGGUAUUUAUUAAAAUAUGUUUUUUUUCUUAAAUGCUUUUUAUGGGGUUUAGCUUUUUUAGAUCUAGUGUGUGGACUAUGGUAGGUGUGUGGUUCUGCUUGAUUGCUUCUGAUUUUGACAAUAAUUUUUUGUUAUCUUGUGGGGUUAGCUUUUCUUCUUUUUUUUUUCCCUUGUUUUUGUGUAACUUGAUUUUGCAGGGUUAGAUUUUGUUUUAUUUAUUUAUUUUUGAUGUCUUCAUCGUGUACUUAAUUUCUCUCUCUCUAAAUUCAUAUUAGCUAUGAUGAUUCAAUGUUAUAUCUGUAUUGGAACCAGAGCUUGACCCAUUUUUAUCAGAAUCUACAAGAAGCUGAUGGUAUUAUCCUAUUUUGUGGUAAUUUGGGCAUUGAUCUUCCAUCAGAGAAGGUUAGUUUUGUUUUUGAAGUUCAUUUUGCUGUUUGAAGGAUUCAUAGUGUAGGUGUAAAUAGCUAUCUAUGUAGUCCAGUGGAUAAUGUAUUUGAUACUUGAUUAAAUUAAUCAAAUGGAUGCUUCCAUAUGUUUUAAGCAAGGUUUAAAAUAGUGGAUGAAAUGUUGCUCAUAAAUUUUAAUUCCCUAAAGAUUAAAUGUUUCAUUUUUAUUUUUAAUUUUAUUUAAUAAUGACAGUGAUAUCUUUGUUGGGUUAAUUUGGAGAAAUUUGGGUUUUGUCAUUAUUUCGAAUCAAAAGAACAAGAGCACUAUUUUUCACACUACUUGUGCUUCUUUGCCAUUAAGGUUGGUCGAAGAUUCUAGAAAAAAGUCUUUUAUGUUUUUACUACCAUUUCAACACUCUUCAUCCUCUUCCUUCUACUGCUGAGAACUUUAGGGCUCUCUCUGCAUUAGCAACAAAGGCAUUGCUCUUAAUACUCAUGUGGCCCUUCAUUUCAAGGUCUUUACUUUUUUAUCCUUCUUUCUAUUUUCACAGAAACUAUAAAGAUAAUAACUUUGGCCUUUAACAACAUGUAAAGAGGGUUUGUGCAACUAUGAAAAUUAUCUAGCUGUUUUAAUUUGUGAUGCUUUCUUUGCUUUUGCGGUUAUAAAAAGGAUUUAAGUUGAAGGUUCCCCUUUUUCCUCUUGUUUUGGAGACGGGAGAUCGAAAAAGAUGAUUGUGCCCUUGACUAUGUGCAUAUACUACUAUUUGCUAUCUAAUUUUAAUUUUGAGGUGGUUUAUGAUCUUAAUGAUGAAUGCGAGAGGGCUUUGCCAGAAAACAUGUUCUUUGAUGGAGAAUAAGAUAACUAUCAUACACUACUACUAAGCUAUAUAUUGACGGAAAAAGAUUUCCACAACAUAGUAUGCGUAUCACAUUAUUAUCUUAUAGUCAUGUAUGCUUUUUCAAUUAUAACUUAUGCUUUAUGAUGAUUAUUUAUUUUAUAUCAGGAUAUGAUUAGGGAGUUAUUAUUGUAUACAUUUUGCUUUGCUCAUAAUAAUACAAAUGAGACAGACUAUUUCCUGUUGUUACUUCCUUCCUAAUUUUGUUUUGGGUCAAUUUUUGGACAUCACGAGACUGAUCGCAUCUGGUUGUCUGUUGUGACCUUUUCAAAUUUUUGUUUCUGAAUAAAAUGCUUAAUUUAUUGUAUACAUCAUGGUUGUUUAAACCUUGUUGCUUUUUAAGGGUGAAAGUUAUUUUGGUUUUGUUUGGGUCACUUUGAAUUAUAUGAAUAACAAAUCAAGAUUUUAAUCCUAAAUUUGUCUCAUGUAUUUUUACUAGAUUACAUUUCUUUCACACAUUGCUAUGGAAUUUGAUUUUUUAUUUUGUUCACUUGGAAACAAAAAUUCACUUAUCAUUGUUGUUCAUCACAUAUGGCAACACUUUGGCUAUAGAUGAUAUUUUGCAGAAUGAAGGUGAUGUUUGGGCUUCCACUCUUUUGUGUUUUGUUGAUUAUCCAUUGGAAGAUUCAAGAACUAUUGGAAGCUUCUUGGGAUGCUUUUGGCUUGAGAUGCACAGUUGAUUUUCUUGGGUUGUUUUACACGAUACAACUUGGUUGGUUGGUGGUAACAAAGUACCGAAAGAAAGACACACUGUUAAAAUGAAAUUGAAGGUGGCUCAGAAUGGAAGAAUUUUAAAAUUAGUGGAUCUUCACUUCAAUUGUGAUAUGAUAUGAUCAACGAAGGAGUUAGAAGGCAAAAAAAGAAGGAAAAAGGAGAACAAUAUUCAUGAUUAAUUUGGUGAGUUAAAUUGGGUUGGGGUGAUGGCGAAGUCUGGGUUGGACAUCUAAGUAGCAGAUGGCACUGCCCCGACGGAGCAGAAAGAGUGGUAGAACGCCGCCGAAGUAGAGGCGUAGAUCAGACCCUGGUCGAGUUCAGGUACACCAGACGGGAGGCAAUGGACGACAUGGGGCAACCGUCGACGCAGGCACUGCAGUGGAGAAGUCAGAGGAGCAGCUCCGCAAUGAGAUCGAUGAGCUUCUCCGCCAACAGCGCGAGAUUACGGAGCAGCUUCAUGAUCCUCGAGGCCUUCGAAGGGGUCACUUCUCAGCUCCUCGCCGACAACCCUUUCCUCCCCAAUGCCAAAACUAAUCUGAUGGUGGCAAGCUUGACAACAGGGGUCCCUUCUUUGUCAAUGGACUUCCUUUUGGAGCCAUAGACGCAAUAAAAGCUGCAUACGGAGCUACUGUACAAAUUAAAGAUCCUCCAAGGGAUGGGUUUAACCUAACAUUGAAAAUAAAUCUGUCAAGGCUUCCUGCAAAUCAAGAUCAAAGGCAAUCCUUUUUGGUGAAAAUUGCAUCAGUGAGGGAGGUUGUCCUUGGUGCACCAUUGAGAGUAAUUUUAAAACAUCUUGCUUCAAGAACUGUUGCUCCAGACAUUGAUCCGCUUGUCGCCCUUGUGCAUCGGCCAAGGGAGUUGUUUUUUCUUGUUCCAAUGGGGUGUCUGGAGUGAAGGGUCGUUUGGUGAAGAUGGAGAUCAGGGCAUUGACGUGCGUAGAAGAAAAAGAAGAAGUGGGUGCUUGAGAAACUGAACGAGUGGUGGAAGUUGAAAGUCAUAACCUUUUGGAGAAUAAGAGAUGACAGAGCACAGGAAUUCGGUUUGAGGAUUCGCACUGCCAUGAGAGAGAGAGAGAGAAAAAAUGCUCGUAAUAUUAGUCCAAUAGUUUAGAAGUUCCUUUUCCCUAUGAAUUUGUCUAUUUUUAAGCUUCCUUGAGAUUAAGAUACUAUAGCAUGGCCUUUGUUCAUGUCCUAUAAGAUCUUUAUUUUAAAUAUUUGGGUUUUUCUCUUUUGGAACAAUGAUCACUGAAUACUUCAAUUACCUU